GCCCGGGUGGCGAAAUUGGUAGACGCAGGGGAUUCAAAAUCCCCCGCCGCAAGGCGUGUCGGUUCGAGUCCGACUCUGGGCA
rnacentral:tRNA from 1 species